rnacentral:rRNA from 1 species
CCUACGGGUGGCAGCAGUGAGGAAUAUUGGUCAAUGGCCGUAAGGCUGAACCAGCCAAGUCGCGUGAAGGAAGAAGGAUCUAUGGUUUGUAAACUGCUUUUAUAGGGGAAGAAAGGUAGCCACGUGUGGAUAUUUGCAUGUACCCUAUGAAUAAGCAUCGGCUAACUCCGUGCCAGCAGCCGCGGUAAUACGGAGGAUGCGAGCGUUCUCCGGAUUUAUGGGGGUUAAAGGGUGCGUAGGUUGUUUUUUACGUCAGCGGUGAAAGUUUGUGGCUCAACCAUAAAAUUGCCGUUGAUACUGGUAGACUUGAGUGUGUUUGCGGUAGGCGGCAUGC